UCUUCGGAGAGUUUGAUCCUGGCUCAGGAUGAACGCUGGCGGCGUGCCUAAUACAUGCAAGUCGAGCGAACUGAUUAGAAGCUUGCUUCUAUGAUGUUAGCGGCGGACGGGUGAGUAACACGUGGGCAACCUGCCUGUAAGACUGGGAUAACUCCGGGAAACCGGAGCUAAUACCGGAUAACAUUUUCUCUUGCAUAAGAGAAAAUUGAAAGAUGGUUUCGG
rnacentral:rRNA from 1 species